GGUUAAAAUUUCAUCCACUUUCACUUUUAAAAAUUGGUGUAGUUGACAGAAUAACCAAAUAGUUGUACCUUAUAUUGACAUACAAUGAUCGAUUUUAAUAGUAGAAUGGAUGGAAUCUUUAACA
rnacentral:pre_miRNA from 1 species